AGAGUUUGAUCCUGGCUCAGGACGAACGCUGGCGGCAUGCCUAACCCAUGCAAGUCGAGCGGAGGGAGCCCUUCGGGGUGAACUAAGCGGCGGACGGGUGAGUAACGCGUGAACAACCAACCUUACACAGGGGGACAACAGCUGGAAACGGCUGCUAAUACCGCAUAAGACCACGACCCGGCAUCGGGACGAGGUCAAAGGAGAAAUCCGCAGUUGGAGGGGCUCGCGUCCCAUUAGAUAGUUGGCGGGGUAAUGGCCCACCAAGUCCGCGAUGGGUAGCCGAGCUGAGAGGCUGAUCGGCCACACUGGAACUGAGACACGGUCCAGACUCCUACGGGAGGCAGCAGUGGGGAAUAUUGGGCAAUGGGCGCAAGCCUGACCCAGCAACGCCGCGUGAGGGAAGAAGGCUUUCGGGUUGUAAACCUCUGUCCUUGGUGACGAAAAAAAUGACGGUAGCCAAGGAGGAAGCCCCGGCUAACUACGUGCCAGCAGCCGCGGUAAUACGUAGGGGGCGAGCGUUGUCCGGAAUUACUGGGCGUAAAGGGUGCGUAGGUGGCCUUUUAAGUUGGAUGUGAAAUACCCGGGCUUAACUUGGGGGGUGCAUCCAAAACUGGGAGGCUAGAGUGCAGGAGAGGAAAGCGGAAUUCCUAGUGUAGCGGUGAAAUGCGUAGAUAUGCGGAGGAACACCGAUGGCGAAGGCAGCCUCCUGGGCCAGCACUGACGCUCAUGCACGAAAGCGUGGGGAGCAAACAGGAUUAGAUACCCUGGUAGUCCACGCCCUAAACGAUGUCGACUAGUUGUUGGGGAAGGUAACUUCCUUAGUAACGUAGCUAACGCGUGAAGUCGACCGCCUGGGGAGUACGGCCGCAAGGUUAAAACUCAAAGGAAUUGACGGGGACCCGCACAAGCGGUGGAUGAUGUGGAUUAAUUCGAUGCAACGCGAAAAACCUUACCUACCCUUGACAUGUCCGGAACCCUGGUGAGAGCUGGGGGUGCCCGAAAGGGAGCCGGAACACAGGUGCUGCAUGGCUGUCGUCAGCUCGUGUCGUGAGAUGUUGGGUUAAGUCCCGCAACGAGCGCAACCCUUGCCGCUAAUUGCCAUCAUUUAGUUGGGCACUUUAGUGGGACUGCCGGUGACAAACCGGAGGAAGGUGGGGAUGACGUCAAGUCCUCAUGGCCCUUAUGGGUAGGGCUUCACACGUCAUACAAUGGCGCAUACAGAGGGCUGCGAAGGGGCGACCCGGAGCCAAUCCCAGAAAGUGCGUCGUAGUCCGGAUUGCAGUCUGCAACUCGACUGCAUGAAGUCGGAAUCGCUAGUAAUCGCGGAUCAGCAUGUCGCGGUGAAUACGUUCCCGGGUCUUGUACACACCGCCCGUCACACCAUGGGAGUGGGGUUCACCAGAAGGCGUUAGCCUAACCGCAAGGAGGGCGACGACCACGGUGAGCUUCAUGACUGGGGUGAAGUCGUAACAAGGUAACC
rnacentral:rRNA from 1 species